rnacentral:rRNA from 1 species
UACGUAGGGGGCAGGCGUUAAUCGGAAUUACUGGGCGUAAAGCGUGCGCAGGCGGUCCUUUAAGUCAGAUGUGAAAUCCCCGGGCUUAACCUGGGAACUGCGUUUGAAACUGGAAGGCUAGAGUGUGGCAGAGGAGGGUGGAAUUCCACGUGUAGCGGUGAAAUGCGUAGAGAUGUGGAGGAACACCGAUGGCGAAGGCAGCCCGCUGGGCUCACACUGACGCUCAGGCACGAAAGCGUGGGGAGCAAACAGG